UUUAUUUAUAUAGCGCUUUAACAAUACAGAUUGUGUCAAAGCACUUAACAGUAUCAAAUUGGAGGAGUGUCAGUAAUGUAUAAUGAUAAGAUUAAACACUCAAUUUUCAGUUAAAGGCAUUUCAUUAUUGAAUUCAGAGAUGUCAUUGUCUAGCUCAGUUUAAAUUAAAUAGUAUCUGUGCAAUCAAAUCGGCGAUAAUCGCUAGAAAUGAAGUGUCCCCAACUGAGCAAGCCAGAGGAGACAGCGGCAAGGAACCAAAACUCCCUCUGAGACAGAAUGGAGAAAAAAACCUUGGGACAAACCAGGCUCAGUCGGGGGGCCAGUUCUCCUCUGACCAGACGAAACCCGCAGUUCAAAAGUUUAUAUUUCUAUUUUAAUUUUGUUGCAAUUUCUAACAAUAGUAGUAUUAUGUAGUUAGGUAUUUUAUUAUAUUUUUAGUUAUUUUGUUAUAUUUAUAAUGAUAAUAAAUACAUUUACAUAGUUAAAUCAUCUAUACAUGCGUAAAGAAAGAAAUAGCCUACAAAAAAGAAAAAUAAAUAUAUAGAGAAAAGAUUGUACUAUCCAUAUUAAGAAGCUUUCUGAAUCUUCUCUAUUUAUUUUCGAUGACUAAAAUACUGUUGGUACCACAGUUUAUGGUUGCACUGUGCACAUGAUACAAAAUGAUUACAGAAUUCAAGUAACUAGUUUUGUGUAAUUCUUGCGACUCUGGAGCCCCCUACAGUUAAGUGAGUGGAAUUCACUGCCGUAAUACACGUGCAUUUGUUGCUGCCGUAAAGCAGUCUGCUCCUUUCGCGCGAUUUCGUACCCGCUCACCAACACCGUUAGGUUGCGUCAGAAAACGUAGGCUGCUGAUUUGAGGCCUCGCUGACUUUGUAGGCAGCAUUUGCGCAGAAAAGCUCACGGAAUUGAACACAGGAUUGUGGGAUAUCAAAGGCAGCGAAGGAUACAUCUAUGCUGCCUUCAAAAACCAACCAGAUGAAGGCGUCUCAGAAGACAGGACGUAAAGCUAACAAGGUUUGAAGGGGAGCAUGGGAAAGAAACAGAAGCCAUUUGCCUUAUUACAGUAGGUGUACCUUCAGAAUGAUUCUUAAUUUAUAUUUCAAGGUAAAAAAUGUAGUUGCUUUAAAAGUGGUGCUCAAAUGUACUUCAUAAAUAGCAUGUAUUUGCAAGGUACUUGUCCAAAAAACAUUCUAAUACAUUUUGUUAGUGCGCAUUUUUCUUGUAAAGUAACCACAGUGGCCAAUUGUGCAAACAGCUACAAUCUGUGUCAUAAAAACUUGUCUUACCAACUAGCAAGGGGUAAACAGUCUUACUUUUCAGAUUCAGAGUAGACCCACCUACAUUUUUAUGUAUCUGACUAAAAAAAGGUUAUGACCUAGAUGACUAACUUGUAAGACUAGUCUAAACAGCUUAUGGAACCAGCCACAAUUCUGCUUCGCAGGCUAUUCCUAUUUUUUGGAUCUGUCACCUUAUAAUGGAAAAUUUGCGGUUGGAGUAGGUGACAGAUUACAACUCAAGUUAUAACUUGGUUUUAAUUCAACUUCAGAGCAGAGAAAGAGGGGAAGGUCUGAUCUAGUGUGUCAGUUUUUAUUUUAUUUGCACGUCCAUUGUGUUAACAACUUCAACAUACAGUACAAGUCAGCAUUAGUGUAACAUACUGUAUUUAGCAUAAACUCACAGCAGUACGCAGAUAACUUGCCCUCAAAAGCAUUAUAGUUCACACUUUAUGUUAGAUGUCCCUGAAGAUCAUGUAGUGAAAUGAGCAGUAUUAAGCUGGGCAUGUAAAGUACAUGUUAUUCACUGUACUUACAUUAUACAUAGACAACUUGCUUGUACUUACAAAUAUUGAAAAGGCCAGGUGACAACAUGAAUCACACUACAGUUGUGGUGAACUAACACUGUCUAUCAUCUAGGUACAGUGGUUUAAGGGACACCUAAAAUAAAGCUGAAUCGCUAACUUCAUUCCAUCUUAACCAUAUCAACAUUGCGGUAUCCAGAUGGACUAAUAUAUUUAUUACAGUAAUUUUCUUCUCAGCUCAUUUUCGUCUUUGUUCAGCUUUCGAUGUUUCUAUACAACACACAACAGCAAAAAACUGAGGGAUUGUUAGAGACCAGUGGCAGAGAGAAAAAAAGGGGCAGAUAGCACUCCAAAAGAGGAGGUUUACACAAAAAGAAACCAUUUCCAUUCCA